GCACGCAAGGACCGUUAAAGUUUGAAUCCUGGCUCGAUGAACCGCUUUCGGGCGCCGGAUUAGGUGGCGAACGGGUGAGUAACACGUGGGCAAUCUGCCCUGCACUCUGGGACAAGCCCUGGAAACGGGCUCUAAUACCGGAUAUGACCGUCUGCCGCAUGGAGGAUGGGGUAAAGCUCCGACGGUGCAGGAUGAGCCCGCGGCCUAUCAGCUUGUUGGGGAGGUAAUGGCUCGCCAAGGCGACGACGGGUAGCCGGCCUGAGAGGGCGACCGGCCACACUGGGACUGAGACACGGCCCAGACUCCUACGGGAGGCAGCAGUGGGGAAUAUUGCUCAAUGGGCGAAAGCCUGAUGCAGCGACGCCGCGUGAGGGAUGACGGCCUUCGGGUUGUAAACCUCUUUCAGCAGGGAAGAAGCGAAAGUGACGGUACCUGCAGAAGAAGCGCCGGCUAACUACGUGCCAGCAGCCGCGGUAAUACGUUCGGCGCAAGCG
rnacentral:rRNA from 1 species